UCAUCCUCGAUCGUCCGAUCCCUCUCGCUCCGUUCCACAUCUUCCAUCUCCGCACCAUUCCCAACUCUCCAUCUCCUCCGGCGCCCGUCCGCCCACCUCCGCCGAAGCUCUGCGGGUGGAGUGGGAAGAGGAGUCACAAUGAUGAACACCACCUCCGGAAGCUACGCCUCAGCUCUACUUGAAGUGGCGAAAUCGAAUGGGAUGAUGGAAGCGACAUCCGCCGACAUGGAGAAGAUCUCGAAGAUUUUCUCAGACGAAUCCUUAGUGAAUUAC
rnacentral:lncRNA from 1 species